rnacentral:rRNA from 1 species
AGGACGAACGCUGGCGGCGUGCUUAACACAUGCAAGUCGAGCGGAAAGGCCCUUCGGGGUACUCGAGCGGCGAACGGGUGAGUAACACGUGAGUAAUCUGCCCCUAGCUCUGGGAUAGCUCCGGGAAACCGGGAUUAAUACUGGAUACGACCACCUUAGACAUCUUUUGUGGUGGAAAGAAUUUCGGCUAGGGAUGAGCUCGCGGCCUAUCAGCUUGUUGGUGGGGUAACGGCCUACCAAGGCGACGACGGGUAGCCGGCCUGAGAGGGCGACCGGCCACACUGGGACUGAGACACGGCCCAGACUCCUACGGGAGGCAGCAGUGGGGAAUAUUGCGCAAUGGGCGAAAGCCUGACGCAGCGACGCCGCGUGGGGGAUGAAGGCCUUCGGGUUCGUAAACCCUUUCAGCAGGGACGAAGCGAAAGUGACGGUACCUGCAGAAGAAGCGCCGGCUAACUACGUGCCAGCAGCCGC